AAGAGGGGUAUCCUGUUUUCAAGCCUUCACACGGAGAACUCUCCAGUAUGAUUACAUCCUCUAAAAGGAAGAACAUGGCAGAGACGUGGCUGCUGUGGAGCUGUGACUCGUGAAUGGAACAGUCCUGGUUGGAAGGAUCUGGGGCCUGGAAUGUGCUGCUGUGGGCAUCAGUGGAGCUGCCAUGUGAAAAGGAUGCCGCGUCCCCCUCCCCAGCAUGGGGCAGUGAGCAGGGGCAGUGAGCAGGGCCAGCAGGGAGCAGCCUUCCCGGCAUGCUGUGCCUCCAGGGACACAAGGGAUGGAGGGCACAGUGGGGUAGGUCCCGGCAGGGAGGAAGGGUACCUGCUCCUGCCUCUUGCCUGGCAUGAGGCCAAGCUGGAGAAGGGUAGUGGGAGCCCAGAGCCAUCUCUGCAGCUGCAGAGUCCCUGGGACCACCUGCCCAGGAGCCCAAAGGCUGGUUAAACAAAGCAGCUAGCCCUGGAGAAAAGGCUGGACGGCAGCCCUUCAGAAUACUGUAACCCUUCUAUGCAGACAGACGCCGCUUAAAUAAUCAACAGAGGAUGUGAACAGAUGCUCCAGCUGGGUCAGGGUCCCGAUCUCACAGGGUGGGGCUGGUGGCCGUGUGAGCUGGUGCGCAAUAAACAGCAGUGUCCCUCCAGGGGCAGGGAGUGGUGUGGGCGGAUGAUGGCUUUAGAUGGAUAGUGUCAGCGGUGAGGAGGGAUUGUUGUAUAGAAGAAAGGAUGAUUCGGAAACCAUGAUGGAGCCAGAGGGAAGGGGAGGUACUAUGACAUGUCAAGACAAAUCCACACAAGUGGGAUCUCCUCGCCCAUGAAUGAGUGGUCCCUGUAGCCCCUAGUCACUGAGUGCUGAGGACACUGAAUCCUCAGGGUGUGUGGCAGGCUCUGCUAUGGUGGGUGGCUGCACCCUACAAAAGCUUUAGCUGAGCUGGGGCUCCAGGCAGGUCAUGGAAGCUAUGGCCACACACAGGGUGGGCUCAAGCCAGGGCAAGAGGUUGCCUCUCUGGCUCACCCCAAGCCUGCAAGGCAGGUUUGGCUGUGCUGCCCAAGGCCACCCUGUGUGUGGGGAGCACAGCUGGUCUGCCUGGAAGAGCCCGGCAUGACCCGCAUCCUCCCCACUUUGUUCCUGUUGCCCCUAGGGACCAGUGGGGCCAGUUCAGGUUGUUCCAGCUGACAUCUAUCAGCAAACAACACACCCACCCUCACUGGCCAGGCCUUGUUUACACCACCGCCUUGGCUCCAGACCUGAGCAUCACAGGACACAGGGUGGAAAUUCAAGGGGGAUCUCAUAACACUGCCUGAGAGGAAGCCCAUCCAUCAGGCGCCUCCCAGAGUCACACAGUCUCUCUUCCAUUGAGGGGAACAGCAGGUGGGGUCUGUGGGUACCUCUACAAUCUUCUGCAUCCUUGUCCCUACUUUUGAUGGGCUAGUAACAGGGCAGGCACGUGGAUAGUGGAACAGCAAGAUAAUUGAGAUGACAGAGACCUCUCUCACAUCAGAAGGAAACCUCUGGGACAUCACUGUCACCUUCCAAUGUCAACCUCUGUACCCACUUCAUGGUAGGGGAUCCCUAUGAUUUCUAGACACAACAAACUCAUCCCUGCUUUUGGGACACUUCUCCACCCCAGCCUGCGUUGCCUAGAUACCUGCUACAUACCUGUCCAGGCUCAGUUCAGAUAUGACUCUUCUAGGAAGCCUUCAUGGACUGCCCGCCUCACAAAAUUUGUGUCAGGCACCCAUGUUCCUCUGUGCUCCCACAGCCCCCUGGGGAUCUCAUGCUGUAGCAUUUGUUCCUCUCCGUUGACAUUGCUGAGAUGACCACAUGAACUCUAUGGCCUGCCUGCUACCCUGUGAACCCCGCACAGAGUGCUGGGGAAGAGAUGAAGAAGGCACAGUCUCAUCCAUCCCCAGUUUCUAGGAUGUCUUGUCCGUGUGUUAGUGCUAUAACUGAACACCACAGACUGCACAAUUUAUAAAGAAUAGAUAUUUAUUCAGCACAUUUUCCUGGAGGCUAGGAAGUCCAAGAGCAUUGGCACCUGCUUCUGGUGAGGGCCCACCUGCUGCGCCAUGACACAGCGGGAGGCAUCACGUGGUGAGACAGAGCAGGCGCACUUGCUCAGGUCUUCUUCCUUCCUUCCUUCCUUCCUUUCUUUCUCUCUCUCUCUGUCUUUCUUUCUCUCUUUCUUUACUCUCAUUCUGUCACCCAGGCUGGAGUGCAGUGGUGCAGUCUCAGCUCACUGCAGCCUCCACUUCCCAGGUUGAAGCAAUUCUUGUGCCUCAGCCUCCCCAGUAGCUGGGAUUACAGGCGCCUACCACUGUGCCCAGCUAAUUUUUCUGUAUUUUUAGUAUAGACGGGGUUUUACCAUGUUAGCCAGGCUGAUCUCGAACUGCUGACGUCAGGCGAUCUCGAACUCCUGACCUCAGGUGAUCCGCCUGCCUCAGCCUCCCAAAGUGCUGGGAUUACAGGCAUGAGCUGCCGCAGGAGGCCUCUUCCUGUUUUUAUAAAGCUAUCAGUCCUAUUGUGGAGGCCCCACCCUGAUGACCUUAUCUAAUCCUAAUUCCCUCCCAAAGGUCCCACUUCCAAAUACCAUCAACGUAUACAUUUGGGCAUUCAGUUUCCAAUACAUGAAAUUUGGAGACACAUUCAAACUACAGCACAGAGAAAGGCAAAUAUCUAAAUUACUGUUAGAGAAUGAUGGCCUCACUCAUGCCUGUGGUUGACCUGCCAGCAACUUUUCCUUCAGCUUUAUCACCAUCAUCAUGACGGUCACCAACCCCAUCUUUUAGUACAGCUGUAUUGAGGUAUAACUGAGCAUAUAAUAAGCAGCACCUAUUUUAGGUGCCCAGUUUGAUCAUGUCUGACAUAUACAUACAUCUGUGAAACCAUCACCACAAUCAAGAUAAUGAACAUAUUCAUCAUCUCCAAAAGUUUCCUCCUGCUCCUUGGUAAUCCCUCCCUCCCUCCCCUCCAACUUCCACUCCUUGUCCCUGGCAGCCACUGCUUUGCUUUCUGUCACUAUAGAUUAGUUUGCAUUUUCCAGAGCUUUAUAUAAAUGGAAUCAUACAACAUGUACUCUUUUUCCU
rnacentral:lncRNA from 1 species